rnacentral:rRNA from 1 species
UACGUAGGGACCAAGCGUUGUCCGGAAUCAUUGGGCGUAAAGCGCGCGUAGGUGGCCAUUUAAGUCCGCUGUGAAAGUCAAAGGCUCAACCUUUGAAAGCCGGUGGAUACUGGAUGGCUAGAGUACGGAAGAGGCGAGUGGAAUUCCUGGUGUAGCGGUGGAAUGCGCAGAUAUCAGGAGGAACACCGAUGGCGAAGGCAGGUCUCUGGGCAUUAACUGACGCUGAGGAGCGAAAGCAUGGGGAGCGAACAGG